rnacentral:rRNA from 1 species
UACGUAGGGUGCAAGCGUUAAUCGGAAUUACUGGGCGUAAAGCGUGCGCAGGCGGUUAUGUAAGUCAGAUGUGAAAUGCCCGGGCUUAUCCUGGGAACUGCAUUUGUGACUGCAUGGCUAGAGUUUGGCAGAGGGGGGUAGAAUUCCACGUGUAGCAGUGAAAUGCGUAGAUAUGUGGAGGAACACCGAUGGCGAAGGCUGCCCCCUGGGUCAAGACUGACGCUCAUGCACGAAAGCGUGGGGAGCAAACAGG